AGAGUUUGAUCCUGGCUCAGAUUGAACGCUGGCGGCAGGCUUAACACAUGCAAGUCGAGCGGAGAUGAGGUGCUUGCACCUUAUCUUAGCGGCGGACGGGUGAGUAAUGCUUAGGAAUCUGCCUAUUAGUGGGGGACAACAUUCCGAAAGGAAUGCUAAUACCGCAUACGUCCUACGGGAGAAAGCAGGGGAUCUUCGGACCUUGCGCUAAUAGAUGAGCCUAAGUCGGAUUAGCUAGUUGGUGGGGUAAAGGCCUACCAAGGCGACGAUCUGUAGCGGGUCUGAGAGGAUGAUCCGCCACACUGGGACUGAGACACGGCCCAGACUCCUACGGGAGGCAGCAGUGGGGAAUAUUGGACAAUGGGGGGAACCCUGAUCCAGCCAUGCCGCGUGUGCGAAGAAGGCCUUAUGGUUGUAAAGCACUUUAAGCGAGGAGGAGGCUACUGAGACUAAUACUCUUGGAUAGUGGACGUUACUCGCAGAAUAAGCACCGGCUAACUCUGUGCCAGCAGCCGCGGUAAUACAGAGGGUGCGAGCGUUAAUCGGAUUUACUGGGCGUAAAGCGUGCGUAGGCGGCUUUUUAAGUCGGAUGUGAAAUCCCCGAGCUUAACUUGGGAAUUGCAUUCGAUACUGGGAAGCUAGAGUAUGGGAGAGGAUGGUAGAAUUCCAGGUGUAGCGGUGAAAUGCGUAGAGAUCUGGAGGAAUACCGAUGGCGAAGGCAGCCAUCUGGCCUAAUACUGACGCUGAGGUACGAAAGCAUGGGGAGCAAUCAGGAUUAGAUACCCUGGUAGUCCAUGCCGUAAACGAUGUCUACUAGCCGUUGGGGCCUUUGAGGCUUUAGUGGCGCAGCUAACGCGAUAAUAGACCGCCUGGGA
rnacentral:rRNA from 1 species